rnacentral:tRNA from 1 species
AGUAAAGUAAGCUAAACAAGCUAUUGGGCCCAUACCCCAAAAAUGGUGGGCUAACAAUCCCCCUUUUACUA